CGAAGUUGGAUUCGCUAGUAAUCGCGCAUCAGCCAUGGCGCGGUGAAUACGUUCCCGGGCCUUGUACACACCGCCCGUCAAGCCAUGGGAGCCGGGGGGCGCCUGAAGUCCGGGACCGCGAGGACCGGCCUAGGGCGAAACUGGUGACUGGGGCUAAGUCGUAACAAGGUAUC
rnacentral:rRNA from 1 species